CGAAUGCAGUCUUUCCUCAGGCUAGCCUACAAUGCGUUACCUUAGUGCGGCAAAAUUGUUUACACUGGGCAUUUCAAAUUUCCAAACUUCAUCUACUUUUCAAAAACCAAGAUUCAUGAGGCAUGAAGAUGCUUUCAAGCGUCUAAAUAAAGAGUAUGCGAGCCUAUUUAAUGGGAGCAAACCUUCGUUCUAUCGACAUCACGUGGGCGAAUGACGAGUCACGUCGAACUUUCAAAUUGGAGGCAUGAAUCUAAAUGAGUGCGUUACACGCGAACCUUCUUGAUGGAUGGAACUUCAUUGCGGAUUGUGCAGCAUGCAAUUCAUGAUAAGAAACCAGCCUUACCUCAAGGACAGGACCUCCACAUUGACGAGUUUCCUUAAAACGGUGAUAUCGGUUAAUUCGGCUCCCCUGCGAAGAAAAUCGAAUGAUCACUACUUAGAAGACAGGGGCAUGCUAAUUCUAUCGAACUAUUUCCAAGUGCAAUGAGUUUGGUUUCCGGCAUUUGGAACAAGUUCAAACAUCAAACGGGAAUGACUGUGUGGGCGCUCAUCUGGAAAAUUGUGGCUCAUCCACUUUAUACUCGUACAUACAUACAUUGGCGAGUCAUGGGGAUAAUUGGGAAUUGAUGAUUUUAGCUUCGCUUGUA